rnacentral:lncRNA from 1 species
GUCGCUUCUCGCAGGCGGCGCGCUUGCUGGGUCACAGUGAGGCGGCUCCGCGCAGGCGCAGCCGGGCGGGCGAGGAGCGGGGAAGCUGACUCAGGGCUGCGGCCGGGGUCCUGCGGGGUAGGAGCGCGAGGCCGGCCUGAGGGAGGAGGCCUAGCGACCCAUCCGGCGCCUCCCGCCCCGGGCACCCGCCCGCGGCCGCGCAUCCUGCGGGCCCCAGGAGGCCUCCAUCUCAAAACAACGUGUUUUUAGAGAACUCAAGGGCUGUGAAAAGAGCAGGACCUCACCAGCUGCACGGCGGUGGUGACUGGCUCCAUCUUGCUGUCCCUCCCAAUCACACAACAUCUCCCCUUGAAGGCUCUGCCCAGGCCCGGACUCCCACCUUUCAAGAUGUCUGGAUCAGUGCAGGACCUCCUCCUUGGCCACAUCGCUCUCCUUGGACUGGCUGGAGUGCAAUGACUCGGUCUCGGCUCAUUGCAACCUCCGCCUUGCAGGUUCAAGUGAUUCUCCCACCUCAGCCUCCCAAGUAGGAUUACAGUGUUGACUCACCUGUGGAGUGGUCUGAGCCUGAAUGCCCGGGGCUGUGGCCACCGAGUGAACGGGCUGUGCUAAGGGGAAUUGCCACCUUGGGAAACCUGUGUAGUUGCGGCUUUUCUGAUUAAGUAUCAAUAAAAGUCUGACCUUGUGAAAAAAGCAAACGUGAGUGGCCCUGCUUAUGUUUCACCUUGCGUUGCUCAGUGAUAGUUCUGCAAAGUCGCAGGAAACCUGGAAUCAUCUAAUUAUCGUGAGUGUUGGCACAUGACAGCCUUCUUGCAAUCAAGAAACUACGUGUGGCCAGGAUCUCAUCCACUAUCACAGUUUCAGCUUUCCCCAAACUGGAAUGUGUCUUUGCAGACGCCCAUCCUUAUUAAAGGGCAAAGACUUCUCAUACACCUAGGAUGGAUCUUAUAUUCUUGGCGGGACUGCAGAGAAGGUGCCGUGUCCUGAGUCCUCAUGUCAGGGCACAGGCUUCCAGCCAGUUCUACCUGGGUUAUGUUUAUCUCAAUUCCCUGGUGGUAUUGGUGUCUGCUGGGUUUUGCCAGAAUGAAGACACCGUGUUUUCAUUUGUCAGUUGAUUCGUAUUUUCCAGGAAGACAUUCUGAGAUUACAGCAUUGUCUUAGUCAAGGUGCUGCAGAAGGACAGAACUAAUAGGAUAUAUGUACAUAUGAAAGAAAGUUUAUGAAGAACUGGCUCACACCAUCACAAGGCAAAGUCCCAUGACAGGCCAUCUGCAAGCUGAGGAGCGAGGAAGCCAGCAGUGGCUCAGCCGGAGUCCAACAGCCUCAAACGGAAUCCAACAGUUCAGGCUUCAGUCUGUGGCCAAAUGCCCAGAGACCCCGGAAAGCUACUGGUGUUAGUCCCAGAGCCGGAAGGCCAAAGAACCUGGAGUGUGAUGUCCAAGGGCAGGAGGAAUGGACAGAAGCAUCCAGCAUGGGGUAAAGACGAAAGCCAGAAGACUCAGCAAGCUAGCUUACCUACUUUCUUCUGCCUGCCUUGUUCUAGCCGCGCUGGCAGCCGGUUGGAGGGUGCCCACCCCCACUGAGGGUGGAUCUUCCUCUCCUAGUCCACUGACUCAAAUUUCAGUCUCUCUGGGAGCACCAUCACACCAGAAACAAUACCAGCCAUCUAGCCACCCUUCAGUUCACCAUCACAACCAUUGUCUUAUUCAUGAAACUUCUGCAGACCCACCUUAACCUCCAUCGGUGACUUCUACCUGAAGCCCUCUGAUUGUUGCCCAGUGGUGCUUUUUAAAAUAAUUUCCAUAGUUUCUUCUACACCUUUAGUUGGCAUUCUACUGUAAAGGAGAGAUUUUAUUUUCUUACUCAUUUAUUUGUUAGUUUAUAGUCACCACCAUAUGGAUGCAGAGUUCUGUCUCAUUCACUGGGAAGUAUUCUAUUGCAGUCAUGAUUUAUUUUGAUGUUCACAUCCCAGAGUUGGUGAGUGAGCGCCCCUUCACGCUGGCUCCCGAGUGCUGACGUGUCCCCGUCCUUCUCUGCACUUUUCCUUACCUCCUGGCCUCAGAUAUUCCAGGGUCAUUUGUUCUCUCCCUGCUCCAACCCUGCAGUCAGCCAUCUCCCUAGGGACGUUGGUUCCUUUAUGGAAGGUGGCAUUUAGAAGCCAGGAUUUGGGCUGAGCACUGUGGCUCAUGCUUGUAAUCCCAGCACUUGGGGAGGCCGAAGUGGGCGGAUCGCUGGAGGCCAAGAGUCUGAGACCAGCCUGGCUAACAUGGUGAAACCCUUCCCCGUCUCUACUACAAAUAAAAAAUUAGCUGGGUGUGUUGGCACGUGCCUGUAAUCCCAGUUACUCAGGAGGCUGAAGCACCAGAAUCUCUUGAACCCAGGAGGCCGAGGUUGCAGUGAGCCAAGAUUGCACCACUGCACUACAGCUUGGGUGACAGCGCGAGACACCGUCUCAAAAAGGAUAAUAAUUUAAAAAACAGCAGGAUUUGGGUGAGCAGUGCGCUCAUUGCUUCUGGGCUCUCUCGGUGGACAUAGGCUAGGAAUGUAAGAUGUAUGUGCCUGUGUAUAUACACACGUCUGUAGCUAUGUCUAUGUUGCAUACAUGUGUUUUUCCAAAAACCAAAUCCAUAACCAU